GCGCCCGUAGCUCAGCUGGAUAGAGCAGCAGGCUUCGAACCUGUCGGUCGGGAGUUCGAAUCUCUCCGGGCGUGCCA
rnacentral:tRNA from 1 species